CAUGCAACAAAGUCUGAACCAGACCGGCGGUCACGUGUUUGGUGGAACCGGGUUUCAUGAACCGAGAGUGAGAAAUCCCCUCCACCAUGAAAGCAAGCUGGAAGACAACUAUGAGGGCCAAGACGUACAUACCGGUUCUGGUUCCUGGCCAACCGGAGAAGAGAAUCUCGGCAUCGCUACCCCAGAAGAAGGUCAUAUGCAUCAUCAUCUUAUGGUGGUUCGUCAUGUUCAUGCCGCCAUCUGAUGUGUUGUGCAUCAUCAUGCCAUGCAUAUUGUCAUCAUUCAUGCCCUCCAUGGAUGAAUCUUUUUCUCAGUUUGGCUCUUGAGAGUGUGGGCCUGC
rnacentral:lncRNA from 1 species